rnacentral:tmRNA from 1 species
GGGGGCGCACUGGUUUCGACGGGGAUAGUUGAAGCCGAAGCCGCAGGUCGAGGUUGGUCGAUGGCCUCGUUAAAAUCGACCACAAAGAUAAUUGCCAACGACAAUUACGAAUACGCAAUGGCUGCUUAAUUGCAGAGUUGCAACUGACAACACAGCUUGUCACGAUUCACCCGCCGACGCCUUAUAAGCGGGCUGGAUCGUCAAAUCAUAGGGCUAGCUUCAUACGUGCGUUUCUAGCUUAUGUUGCGAAACUCAAAUAGGAACUAGUUCGGCGGCCGUCCGGCCCGGAGCAACCCGCCGUGCGAAACUUUAAUCCGGACCUAAACCUGUAGACGCUUUCGCGGAUCGUUCUCGGACGGGAGUUCGACUCUCCCCGCCUCCACCA